CCUACGGGGGGCAGCAGUGGGGAAUAUUGGACAAUGGGCGAAAGCCUGAUCCAGCCAUGCCGCGUGUGUGAAGAAGGCCUUCGGGUUGUAAAGCACUUUCAGUGGGGAAGAAAGCCUUGGGGCUAAUACCCUCGAGGAAGGACAUCACCCACAGAAGAAGCACCGGCUAACUCCGUGCCAGCAGCCGCGGUAAUACGGAGGGUGCGAGCGUUAAUCGGAAUUACUGGGCGUAAAGCGCGCGUAGGCGGUCUGAUAAGCCGGUUGUGAAAGCCCCGGGCUCAACCUGGGAACGGCAUCCGGAACUGUCAGGUUAGAGUGCAGGAGAGGAAGGUAGAAUUCCCGGUGUAGCGGUGAAAUGCGUAGAGAUCGGGAGGAAUACCAGUGGCGAAGGCGGCCUUCUGGACUGACACUGACGCUGAGGUGCGAAAGCGUGGGUAGCAAACAGGAUUAGAUACCCCUGUAGUC
rnacentral:rRNA from 1 species